AUCUCAGUUCGGAUUGUAGUCUGCAACCCGACUACAUGAAGCUGGAAUCGCUAGUAAUCGCAGAUCAGAAUGCUGCGGUGAAUACGUUCCCGGGUCUUGUACACACCGCCCGUCACACCAUGGGAGUUGGAAAUGCCCGAAGCCAGUGACCCAACCGUAAGGAGGGAGCUGUCGAAGGUGGAGCCGAUGACUGGGGUGAAGUCGUAACAAGGUAGC
rnacentral:rRNA from 1 species